UAAGUAGAAAAAAAUAUAUAAUUUUCUGCAGAUGUACAGAAAUACUUAGAUGACUGAGAUGAGGAGCAGGGAUUUUAAUUGUCUCAGUUCAGGAUUUAUUGUCAUAAUAUGCAAAAUGUCAUGAAAAGCCUAUUUGCAUGAGAGAUGAACAUCAACCGAUAAAGAAUGAAUGAUUUAAGGGAAAAUAGGGCAAUUUGGAAUUUAUAACCAAGCAUGAUGAAAUGUAACUUCUUGUGACCAGAAUAAUCUUUAAAGAUGUCCACAACAUAUCAGCCAUAAACCUGUCAAUGCUCCGGGACCGACAAACCCCUGAUCAUCAUCACUCGUCCCUCAGAUGCAAACCAAGCACACAAGCAAAGAUUGCGCUUAAAACCCAAUAAACAUUACGUCGGCUGAUAAUACAAGCACACGUCCUCCAAAGAACACUCCAACAAAAGCACACGCUGAAAUUUCUAGGUUUUGCCUUCACAAGCUGUCUUUCACUCUCCACCUGUCAGCAAGGAGAAAAGAAGGUCGAAAACGACACCAAAUUACAAGCUCAGGGGUAAAAUCACCUCUGUGUUGCCUCCCAUGUAGGCCAGAUACCAGAUCUCCUUGGCCGGUCUGAUCUUACAGGUGGCAGAGGCGGUGGUCAUGGAAACUGGCUGCUUUCUCGCACAGUAUGAGACAACUGCUGCAAUGAAGA